AAAAGGAACUACUCGGGCCAACGGGAUAUCUCAGGCUCCUUGGCAUCUCAUGAAAGAUACGUAGCCCAAAUGCUGCAUACUUGGUGUCAAUUGCAGAAUCCCAGUGAACCAAUCGGAGUCUUUGAAACGCAAGUUGCAGCCCCCAAGCCUUAUGGCCGAGGGCUACGUCUGCCUGGG
rnacentral:rRNA from 1 species